AAAUGCCGGUUUAGGGCAUCCUAAACCUCAUCGCGUACCUCUGAUCUGCAGCCACGGAUCGUACCAACGGCGACCUCGACGACCUUGGAAGACUGCCGCAUCCUCGAAUCAUCCCUAGCGCGCCGUCUCCGAUAGAGAAGGAAGCUCCUUUCUGCUUUUAGCUGCCGCGACAAUGGCCUUCUCUGCUGCCUUCUACCGUGGCGCUUCCAUUGCCUCUCAGCUGCCCGCUCCCUUUCCAGGAGUCUGCACCCUCGCCUCUCGGCCGUUAUCCAUCCCCCCUGUUUAAGGAAUGUCAUCUCAGAGAGAACUGCGUGGUCCCUUCCUUGUACUGCAUAUUUCUCUUCUGUUACAACGAAGCCAGCCUCCGACUCCAACCUCCUUCAAGGCGUCGACUCUGAGAUCAAGUGCGCACUGGAAUCUGACGGUUAUGACAGGCGGGUGGAGGAGAUACCAGGUGGCUUUGGCUUUCCUUUACUCUGAAGAGAAACUAUCAUCGAGAGAGAGUAUCGAGGUCAUAGUUUCCAUGCCUAGCCUUGUCGCUGGUGAGGAACUAGAUAAUGAACCUGACAACAAUGAUGAAGACGGUGAUCAAUCGGAGAGACCUAGUCAAUCUAACAUCCCACUCACCGUUGUCGUAUCUAAAGGAAUUAAGGAAAGGGGCUAAGUUUGGAGUUCUCAUGUGCUGCCUAUCCUAAUGAAGUUACCAUUGAUAGCAUGUCUGUCAGAGAAAACAAAGAAUCUGAUGAUGAGAUGCUUGUCUAUGAAGGACCUGAUUUCAAAUUUGUAUUCUUUUCCUUCAUUUUGUUAUUUUGUAUGAUUAUAUUUAGGAACAACAAUACAAUAUUUUUUUUGUGCA